rnacentral:rRNA from 1 species
UGCAAGUCGAACGCUUCUUUUUCCACCGGAGCUUGCUCCACCGGAAAAAGAGGAGUGGCGAACGGGUGAGUAACACGUGGGUAACCUGCCCAUCAGAAGGGGAUAACACUUGGAAACAGGUGCUAAUACCGUAUAACAAUCAAAACCGCAUGGUUUUGAUUUGAAAGGCGCUUUCGGGUGUCGCUGAUGGAUGGACCCGCGGUGCAUUAGCUAGUUGGUGAGGUAACGGCUCACCAAGGCCACGAUGCAUAGCCGACCUGAGAGGGUGAUCGGCCACAUUGGGACUGAGACACGGCCCAAACUCCUACGGGAGGCAGCAGUAGGGAAUCUUCGGCAAUGGACGAAAGUCUGACCGAGCAACGCCGCGUGAGUGAAGAAGGUUUUCGGAUCGUAAAACUCUGUUGUUAGAGAAGAACAAGGAUGAGAGUAACUGUUCAUCCCUUGACGGUAUCUAACCAGAAAGCCACGGCUAACUACGUGCCAGCAGCCGCGGUAAUACGUAGGUGGCAAGCGUUGUCCGGAUUUAUUGGGCGUAAAGCGAGCGCAGGCGGUUUCUUAAGUCUGAUGUGAAAGCCCCCGGCUCAACCGGGGAGGGUCAUUGGAAACUGGGAGACUUGAGUGCAGAAGAGGAGAGUGGAAUUCCAUGUGUAGCGGUGAAAUGCGUAGAUAUAUGGAGGAACACCAGUGGCGAAGGCGGCUCUCUGGUCUGUAACUGACGCUGAGGCUCGAAAGCGUGGGGAGCAAACAGGAUUAGAUACCCUGGUAGUCCACGCCGUAAACGAUGAGUGCUAAGUGUUGGAGGGUUUCCGCCCUUCAGUGCUGCAGCUAACGCAUUAAGCACUCCGCCUGGGGAGUACGACCGCAAGGUUGAAACUCAAAGGAAUUGACGGGGGCCCGCACAAGCGGUGG